rnacentral:rRNA from 1 species
UGUAGUCUCGCACAGAUGCAUAUCAAUAAGCGGAGGAAAAGAAACUAACAAGGAUUCCCUCAGUAACGGCGAGUGAAGCGGGAAGAGCUCAAAUUUGAAAUCUUGAAAGGUCACCUUUCACGAAUUGUAGUUUAAAGAAGUGUUUUCUGUUACGAUCGUAAUAUAAGUUCUUUGGAAUAGGACAUCACAGAGGGUGAGAAUCCCGUCUAUGAUUGCGAUUUGUAGCUUUGUGAUACACUUUCAAAGAGUCGGGUUGUUUGGGAAUGCAGCCCAAAACGGGAGGUAAACUUCUUCUAAAGCUAAAUAUUGGCGAGAGACCGAUAGCGAACAAGUACCGUGAGGGAAAGAUGAAAAGAACUUUGAAAAGAGAGUUAAAUAGUACGUGAAAUUGUCAAAAGGGAAGCGUUUAACACCAGUGUUGUUUUCUGAAAAUCAACCUCUGUUAGCUUUAUGCAUGUUUGUUUAGACCUAAUCAGCUAUCUUGCAUGUUCUAUUGUUUGCAGUGGUGCACUUUUCAGUUUACAGGUCAACAUCAGUUUUUUUUACCAGUAAAAAAGGUUAAAGAAAGGUAGCUCAUGGCUCCGGUCGUGAGUGUUAUAGUCUUUUUCCUAUGCGGUAGGAGAGACUGAGGUCUGCAGUGUAGGCUAUUUGGCUAGAUACUCAGGUGCUAUGUGAUACCAUUUCAUAAACAACUUGUUGAUUAUGUUUUGUCUAUUGCAUACUCGCUUGUACUAUCAUACCUACGCUUAGGAUGUUGAGUCGUAGAGCACGCAG